rnacentral:rRNA from 1 species
GAUAAACGCUGGCGGCGUGCAUAACACAUGCAAGUCGAACGAUGAAACUUAGCUGAUUUCUUCGGAAUGAAAAUAAGUGGAUUAGUGGCGAACGGGUGAGUAACACGUGAGUAACCUGCCUUACACAAGGGGAUAGCCUUUGGAAACGAAGAAUAAUACCCUAUAAAGUUAGUCAAUCGCAUGGUAGACUAACCAAAGAUUUAUCGGUGUAAGAUGGACUUGCGUCUGAUUAGCUAGUUGGUGAGAUAAAAGCCCACCAAGGCGACGAUCAGUAGCCGGCUUGAGAGAGUGUACGGCCACAUUGGGACUGAGACACGGCCCAAACUCCUACGGGAGGCAGCAGUGGGGAAUUUUGCACAAUGGGGGAAACCCUGAUGCAGCGACGCCGCGUGAUUUAGUAGGCCUUCGGGUUGUAAAAAUCUUUUUUAUGGGAUGAAAAUGACAGUACCAUAAGAAUAAGGUCCGGCUAAAUACGUGCCAGCAGCCGCGGUAAUACGUAUGGACCGAGCGUUGUCCGGAAUCAUUGGGCGUAAAGGGUACGUAGGCGGCCUAGUAAGUUAGAAGUGAAAUAAUAUAGCUCAACUAUAUAAAGCUUUUAAAACUGUUAGGCUCGAGAGAUGAAAGGGAAAGUGGAAUUCCUAGUGUAGCGGUGAAAUGCGCAGAUAUUAGGAAGAAUACCGGUGGCGAAGGCGACUUUCUGGUCAUCAUCUGACGCUGAGGUACGAAAGCGUGGGUAGCAAACAGGAUUAGAUACCCUGGUAGUCCACGCUGUAAACGAUGAGUGUUAGGUUCUUGGAAUAAUCUGGGAGCCGCAGCUAACGCAUUAAACACUCCGCCUGGGGAGUACGCACGCAAGUGUG